GACGAACGCUGGCGGCGUGCUUAACACAUGCAAGUCGAACGAUGAAGCCGGAGCUUGCUCUGGUGAAUUAGUGGCGAACGGGUGAGUAACACGUGAGUAACCUGCCCUUGACUCUGGGAUAACUGCUAGAAAUGGUAGCUAAUACCGGAUACGACCCUCGGAGGCAUCUCCAGGGGGUGGAAAGAAUUUCGGUCAAGGAUGGACUCGCGGCCUAUCAGCUAGUUGGUGAGGUAACGGCUCACCAAGGCGACGACGGGUAGCCGGCCUGAGGGGGCGACCGGCCACGCUGGGACUGUGACACGGCCCAGACUCCGACGGGAGGCAGGAGUGGGGAAUAUUGCACAAUGGGCGCAAGCCUGAUGCAGCAACGCCGCGUGAGGGAUGACGGCCUUCGGGUUGUAAACCUCUUUUAGUAGGGAAGUAGCGAAAGUGACGGUACCUGCAGAAAAAGCACCGGCUAACUACGUGCCAGCAGCCGCAGUAA
rnacentral:rRNA from 1 species